rnacentral:RNase_P_RNA from 1 species
CGAGGUGGCCGGGCGGUCGCGUCGGGCUCGGCGACGGGCCCGUCGAGGAAAGUCCGGACUCCUCAGGGCAGGGUGGUUGCUAACGGCAACCCGGGGUGACCCGCGGGACAGUGCCACAGAAAACAGACCGCCCCGUGUGAGCGGGGUAAGGGUGAAACGGUGGUGUAAGAGACCACCAGCGUCCCGGGUGACCGGGACGGCUCGGUAAACCCCACCCGGAGCAAGGCCAAAAGGCACGCCGGUUUUCCGGGGUGCUGCGCAGGCGAUCGAGGGUGGCCCGCCCUAUGCCUGCGGGUAGGCCGCUAGAGCCUGCCGGCGACGGCAGGCCGAGAUGGAUGACCGCCGGCCGGGACGCCGCGAGGCGCCCGGCGCACAGAAUCCGGCUUACAGGCCAGCUCGUCCG